UCGGAUGGAUGGCUACCUCUCUCCGCCAGGCACCUCAACCGAACUUUGACUGACAGGCUAGGACCCCCUGGCAGGCCACAAUAAUGGCCAUGACUCUGCUCCACUUCCUACGAUGGAUCCCACAUGGCUCCGUCACUCCCUGGCAGGCCUCAGUAACGGCCACAACUCUGCUCCACUUCCUGCGAUGGAUCCCAUGCAGCUCCAUCACUCCCUG
rnacentral:lncRNA from 1 species